GAUUUAUUGUUUUUUUUWAAAGAUAUGAUUUUCCACUAAWAAGCMAGCAUUUUUUUUAAGUUUCUCGGGUGGCGAGCGGCGGACGGGUGAGUAAUGCCUGGGAAAUUGCCCUGAUGUGGGGGAUAACCAUUGGAAACGAUGGCUAAUACCGCAUGAUAGCUUCGGCUCAAAGAGGGGGACCUUCGGGCCUCUCGCGUCAGGAUAUGCCCAGGUGGGAUUAGCUAGUUGGUGAGGUAAUGGCUCACCAAGGCGACGAUCCCUAGCUGGUCUGAGAGGAUGAUCAGCCACACUGGAACUGAGACACGGUCCAGACUCCUACGGGAGGCAGCAGUGGGGAAUAUUGCACANUGGGCGCAAGCCUGAUGCAGCCAUGCCGCGUGUGUGAAGAAGGCCUUCGGGUUGUAAAGCACUUUCWGUCGUGAGGAAGGUGGUAGUGUUAAUAGCACUAUCAUUUGACGUUAGCGACAGAAGAAGCACCGGCUAACUCCGUGCCAGCAGCCGCGGNAAUACGGANGGUGCGAGCGUUAAUCGGAAUUACUGGGCGUAAAGCGCAUGCACGUGGUUUGUUAAGUCAGAUSUGAAAGCCCGGGGCUCAACCUCNGAAUANCAUUUGAAACUGGCAAGCUANAG
rnacentral:rRNA from 1 species